CUAGUUCUCACCUAACCGCCCUGGGAUUACUACUUUGAGGCAUUUUUACUGAAAAAGGCGUCUAGACUAGGUCGAAGAUUGAGAUAGAUCAACUGAUCCGCACGCUAGGUCAUCGCCACUUGUCAGCUUCUCCCAUAUUUUAUACGGUUGUAGACAGGGGCAUAGAGGUAGGGAUGCUUAUGUGGAAGGUUAAAGACAAAUGAGGAUGAGGGGAAGUAUUUAUGUAAAUUGGCGAUGGGUGAAAAGGAUUCUCGCUGCUGACAACGGCGACCCGUUUGGUUGAGUGUACACGCAUUUGCGUGCGCCAGCCAGUUGCGUGGCCGUAGCGUUGUAAUGCAAUGGCCCUACGGCCAUGUCACAUCACUUCGAGUCACCCACUUAUCGACAUAACGGAGGUCACCGCAGGGAUCAAGGAGCGGUGUAGAGUCGUUGAAAUGGGAUACUUUAUUACUUUUACUUUCUUUUACUUAGUUCACUAUAGGUACUUAGUCCACCCUAGGCUAGCUAUCUGUGGGGUUCUCCUUAGAUAUAAUCUACCUUCGUAUAUGCAGCCUUAUAGGCAAACGCUUUAUAGCGCAAAU
rnacentral:sRNA from 1 species